rnacentral:rRNA from 1 species
CCUACGGGAGGCAGCAGUAGGGAAUAUUGCUCAAUGGGGGAAACCCUGAAGCAGCAACGCCGCGUGGAGGAUGAAGGUUUUCGGAUUGUAAACUCCUUUUGUUAGAGAAGAUAAUGACGGUAUCUAACGAAUAAGCACCGGCUAACUCCGUGCCAGCAGCCGCGGUAAUACGGAGGGUGCGAGCGUUAAUCGGAAUCACUGGGCGUAAAGAGCGCGUAGGCGGGUUAGCAAGUCAGAUGUGAAAUCCUAUGGCUUAACCAUAGAACUGCAUUUGAAACUGGUCUUCUAGAGUAUGGGAGAGGUAGGUGGAAUUCUUGGUGUAGGGGUAAAAUGCGUAGAGAUCAAGAGGAAUACUCAUUGCGAAGGCGACCUGCUAGAACAUAACUGACGCUGAUGCGCGAAAGCGUGGGGAGCAAACAGGAUUAGAUACCCUAGUAGUC